GAGUSCYYCGAGCGUUAUCCGGAAUUACUGGGUGUAAAGGGUGCGUAGGUGGCGGUAUUAGUCUUUUGUGAAAGCCCCGAGCUCAACCUGGGAAACGCAAAAGAAACGGUACUGCUAGAGAGUGUGAGGGGUCUAGGGAACUCAUGGUGUAGGGGUGAAAUCCGUUGAUAUCAUGGGGAACACCAAAAGCGAAGGCACUAGACUGGCACAUUUCUGACACUCAAGCACGAAAGCGUGGGUAGCGAAUGGGAUUAGAUACCCCAGUAGUCCACGCCCUAAACGAUGAUCACUAGUCUUUUAGAGUAUCGACCCUCUGAGAGGCGUAGCUAACGCGUUAAGUGAUCCACCUGGGAAGUACGACCGCAAGGUUA
rnacentral:rRNA from 1 species